AUUUAGGGUUUAGUGUUAAAUUAUAUUAAUUUAUGUAAUGGCAUUUUCUCCUUUUCUUCCACUCUAUGCACAUAAGGAUAUUUUAUCUCUCUUGUAAAUUCUCUGUUGGUGUAUUUAAUUACAUAGAGCUCUUUACUGCAAUUAUGUCUUUGCAUUGUCUCUCUUUACACUAUAAUUUUCCCUGGAUAAUACAUACAUGGUUAUGGCAUGUAAACAUACAAGGCACAAAUGUAAAA